rnacentral:rRNA from 1 species
CAUGCAAGUCGAACGAUGAACCUCGCUUGCGGGGGGAUUAGUGGCGAACGGGUGAGUAACACGUGAGUAACCUGCCCUUAACUCUGGGAUAAGCCUUGGAAACGAGGUCUAAUACUGGAUAUUGACUUUACCUCGCAUGGGGUUUUGUUGAAAGAUUUAUUGGUUUUGGAUGGACUCGCGGCCUAUCAGCUUGUUGGUGAGGUAAUGGCUCACCAAGGCGACGACGGGUAGCCGGCCUGAGAGGGUGACCGGCCACACUGGGACUGAGACACGGCCCAGACUCCUACGGGAGGCAGCAGUGGGGAAUAUUGCACAAUGGGCGAAAGCCUGAUGCAGCGACGCCGCGUGAGGGAUGACGGCCUUCGGGUUGUAAACCUCUUUCAGUAGGGAACAAGGCCAGCAUUUUUGUUGGUUGAGGGUACUUGCAGAAGAAGCGCCGGCUAACUACGUGCCAGCAGCCGCGGUAAUACGUAGGGCGCAAGCGUUAUCCGGAAUUAUUGGGCGUAAAGAGCUCGUAGGCGGUUUGUCGCGUCUGCCGUGAAAGUCCGGGGCUCAACCCCGGAUCUGCGGUGGGUACGGGCAGACUAGAGUGAUGUAGGGGAGACUGGAAUUCCUGGUGUAGCGGUGAAAUGCGCAGAUAUCAGGAGGAACACCGAUGGCGAAGGCAGGUCUCUGGGCAUUAACUGACGCUGAGGAGCGAAAGCAUGGGGAGCGAACAGGAUUAGAUACCCUGGUAGUCCAUGCCGUAAACGUUGGGCACUAGGUGUGGGGGACAUUCCACGUUUUCCGCGCCGUAGCUAACGCAUUAAGUGCCCCGCCUGGGGAGUACGGCCGCAAGGCUAAAACUCAAAGGAAUUGACGGGGGCCCGCACAAGCGGCGGAGCAUGCGGAUUAAUUCGAUGCAACGCGAAGAACCUUACCAAGGCUUGACAUGAACCGGAAAUACCUGGAAACAGGUGCCCCGCUUGCGGUCGGUUUACAGGUGGUGCAUGGUUGUCGUCAGCUCGUGUCGUGAGAUGUUGGGUUAAGUCCCGCAACGAGCGCAACCCUCGUUCUAUGUUGCCAGCACGUUAUG